rnacentral:rRNA from 1 species
UACAGAGGGGGCAAGCGUUGUUCGGAAUUACUGGGCGUAAAGGGCGCGUAGGCGGCCUGUUAAGUCGAACGUGAAAUCCCCGGGCUCAACCCGGGAACUGCGUCCGAAACUGGCAGGCUCGAAUUCGGGAGAGGGAUGCGGAAUUCCAGGUGUAGCGGUGAAAUGCGUAGAUAUCUGGAAGAACAUCGGUGGCGAAGGCGGCAUCCUGGACCGAUAUUGACGCUGAGGCGCGAAAGCCAGGGGAGCAAACGGG